rnacentral:rRNA from 1 species
GAUUAACGCUGGCGGCGUGCCUAACACAUGCAAGUCGAACGAGGUAGCAAUACCUAGUGGCAGACGGGUGAGUAACGCGUGGUCAACCUACCGUUGAGUGGGGGAUAACUAGCCGAAAGGUUAGCUAAUACCGCAUACGUCUCCGAGGGGCAUCCCUUGGCGAUAAAAGGAGCAAUCCGCUCGAUGACGGGACCGCGUCCCAUUAGCUAGAUGGUGGGGUAACGGCCUACCAUGGCACCGAUGGGUAGGCUGGUUUGAGAGAGCGACCAGCCACACUGGGACUGAGACACGGCCCAGACUCCUACGGGAGGCAGCAGUGGGGAAUAUUGCGCAAUGGGCGAAAGACCUGACGCAGCGACGCCGCGUGUGGGAU